AGCAGACGAAACAUGGCGUCAGAUGUUGUUGUCCUAACUUCGGUAAUUUCCGUGGUACAAUAAAAUUUAAAUAAACUUCACAAGUUAACAAAAUUUCUAAAUUCUUGUUUCUGUAAAACAAAUAAAAAUUCAUGUCGUAUUUCAUAUUGAAAUUAUUCCUAUCUGUCCCGUUUUUUCAAGUUCGCGUUGAAACGUUAAAUUGGGCCGCCAUUAAAAAAAAUAAUCGUACGAGAUUUAACGAGAGUGACGAAACUUUUCAGAUGGGUCGUGUAGAGAGAGUUAUCGUUCUUUAUUCCAAAACGAUGCUUCUACCAUAAGUGCCAGCUAAAGCUGGCAUAU
rnacentral:lncRNA from 1 species